rnacentral:lncRNA from 1 species
ACACAUCCAUAAAUGUCACUUCUGCCUAAAGUCUAUAUACUCAUCUAUACACAUCCAUACACAUCCACACGUAACCAUACACAUUAAGGCACCGAAUAAGAAUUGCCAAUAAUACAUAUAAUUACCUAUAUACACAAACAUCUACACACAACCAUACACAUUAGGCCAUCAAACAAAAAUUGCUAAUAAUCCACACAAUCACUUAUACAUAUAAACACCCAC